UACGUAGGGGGCGAGCGUUGUCCGAAGUUACUGGGCGUAAAGAGCGCGUAGGCGGGUCUUUAAGUGAGGGGUGAAAGGUUCGGGCUCAACCCGAACACUGCCUUUCAUACUGGGGACCUUGAGUGCGGGAGAGGCGAGUGGAAUGGUCGGUGUAGCGGUGAAAUGCGUAGAUAUCAGGAGGAACACCUGUGGCGAAGGCGUCCAUCUGGCCCGUUACUGACGCUGAUGCGCGAAAGCUAGGGGAGCAAACGGG
rnacentral:rRNA from 1 species